rnacentral:snRNA from 1 species
UCGGGGCAAGAGCCAGGCCUCGAUGAGUAG